AAUCUUUGUCUCAGGUAGAUGAGGUGAUAGUUAAUUGAUAAAAGAGAGAAGGCAAAGAUGCUGAAGAUUUAUUUGAUUUCUUUUUUUUUCUGAGCUUUUUAUUAGAAACAAAAGAACAGAUAGUUAACCCAAGAUAAAGAGACAUGAUGAAUUCAGCGGCCAAUCGUGGCCCAAAUGAACUAACUCCAUCCCUGAGUCCUUGAUAGAGCUGGCAGAUGAAGAAGUGCUGGAGACAUGGAAGAAUAAUCCACAGUCCCCCUCAACGACCAGAACCAGCAACAGCAGGAGGAGGAAGCCCUAAGGGGCAAAUUGAUUGACCCAGCCCAACAAUAACUAUAUUGAUUCCAGCAGCUGAGAGACCAGAUCCUGCAAUCAAGAAUUAUGCCACAAGUGAACUUAUUCCCUAAGAAGCAAGUCUCCAUAUUCACCAAGACAUCUAUAGCAGCACUUUUUGUAAUAGCAGAGCUGUGUAUAAAGUAGAUACUAUUGACUGGAGAAUGGCUAAACAAAUUAUUGCACACAAAUGUGAUAAAAUAUUCUUAUAUUGUGAUAAAUAAUAAAUAUGAUUAAUAAAGAAAAGCAUAGAAAGACUUA